CGCCAAGGCUGCUCUGGCGAUGGCCGCAGUUACCCAGGCUUGUCGGGGCCACAAUAAGCUGCGGAGAACACUCAGCUUUCAGUUAGGAACAGAAUCUGCACCUGGCAACCAGAGCGGACCACUGAGGAGCCGGCUGCGGGGGGAGCUGGGGGACGCGGGAACGCACAGACCUCACAGGCCCAUAGAAAAGUCCCCUACUUCCACCAAAGACAAAUCUCAGCGAGACAAAUCUACCCGCAAAAUAAGCUGGAGUCCCAUAAACGUGGCCUGAUUAUCCCACAAAGUGCAGCAAGAAUUGCUGUCCACAUAGGCUCUCCUAAAUUGGCCUUGCUGGAACCUCUCACAAGGCCAUUUCAGUCAAAGACCUGGGAAAAUAGCCAGUUCAUCCACCUGUGUCACAGUGUAAAAUAAAAUAGAUUCUUAUUGAACUUAUGCAAACAAACACAUUGCCAUGAAUUAAG
rnacentral:lncRNA from 1 species